GACGAACGCUGGCGGCGUGCCUAAUACAUGCAAGUUGAGCGCUGAAGGUUGGUACUUGUACCAACUGGAUGAGCAGCGAACGGGUGAGUAACGCGUGGGGAAUCUGCCUUUGAGCGGGGGACAACAUUUGGAAACGAAUGCUAAUACCGCAUAAAAACUUUAAACAUAAGUUUUAAGUUUGAAAGAUGCAAUUGCAUCACUCAAAGAUGAUCCCGCGUUGUAUUAGCUAGUUGGUGAGGUAAAGGCUCACCAAGGCGAUGAUACAUAGCCGACCUGAGAGGGUGAUCGGCCACAUUGGGACUGAGACACGGCCCAAACUCCUACGGGAGGCAGCAGUAGGGAAUCUUCGGCAAUGGACGAAAGUCUGACCGAGCAACGCCGCGUGAGUGAAGAAGGUUUUCGGAUCGUAAAACUCUGUUGGUAGAGAAGAACGUUGGUGAGAGUGGAAAGCUCAUCAAGUGACGGUAACUACCCAGAAAGGGACGGCUAACUACGUG
rnacentral:rRNA from 1 species